AGUAGUUUGACAGUUAAAGAAGCUCCGGGUAGAUUACUGGAUUAACCAUAAGAGUAAAGGGAAUUUGUCUGUCCAAGUCUCCAGUUAUCUCAGUUAUAAGGACUAGGGAGAAACAUGGCCAAAAUUGAAGGAAUACUUGUAACUACCAAGAUACAAAAUCAGGUUAACAAGAUUGAUGCACAACAAUGGAAGAACAGAAGCCUUCAACCAGUAGCAAGAUAGCAGUGGGGAAGAACUCAAACAUCUAUACACAUCACCAUAUGAGGAGAUAUACCAGCCUCAUGACACAAGAUGACAAGUACCAGCCUCAUGACACAUGAUGACAAGUACCAGCCUCAUGACAUAUGAUGACAAGUACCAGCCUCAUGACACAUGAUGACAAGUACCAGCCUCAUGACACAUGAUGACAAGUACCAGCCUCAUGACACAUGAUGACAAGUACCAGCCUC